GGGUGCGAUCAUACCAGCACUAAUGCACCGGAUCCCAUCAGAACUCCGCAGUUAAGCGUGCUUGGGCGAGAGUAGUACUAGGAUGGGUGACCUCCUAGGAAGUCCUCGUGUUGCACCCC
rfam:Arabis alpina cultivar Pajares scaff_40246_1_contig_0, whole genome shotgun sequence.